UGGGAUGGCACCAUAACCACUACAGUGCCCCUUAAAAUAGAACAAAACAAACAUGUUCAAAUAUUUACAAAGUAAUUUAUACACAUUUAAUUGCUGUAGUCCAUCAUGAUUUGGCUUUGCACAUGUUAUAUUACUGGCUCUUAAGCAGUGUCUGUAGUACAUGAACAUGUUUUUCUUCGCAGUAAACUCAUUUUAGCUGUAAAAAGGUGGAGAAAAAAAAAAAAAAAACCCACCCAAAUACCC